rnacentral:lncRNA from 13 species
UAAAUGGAUGUGCGCCGUUAGUGCGCCGGAAAUUUUAGUGUUAUAAGAAAAAGGCCGGCAUGACACUUCUCACUCACUCAAGUUCCUCUCUGGCCUUCUGUAAUUCUGUUUACUACUAUUGUAGAACCAUUGUAGAACAGGCUUGAGUGCUGUCAAAUGUUGUGAGUGUCAAGUGAAACGUACUCUGCAAUGUCUGCAAUCAGACAGCUGCAAUCACAACGAACGUAACUUGUGACAAUAUCAUUAUUUUGACAAAAAACUGAACGAAAAGGAUGCUGCUAAAAUAACUUACGAAAUUAUUCCAGAUCGUCAUUCCUACUACAUUACUGACAAACGGAAACUUCUUGUCUCAUUCUUUCUAGAUGAAAAAAUGUCAGCUCUGCUCUUUUAUACUUUAUUUUAUCUUCUGAUGUCCGGGUGUAUUAUCUACCCGCCAACGGAAUUUGUCUCAGCGGGGCUAACCGUUAAAGAUGUCUUCGCGAAUUGGCUUGGUAGUGAGAACGAGUUUUUUGUGCAGUAUCAUAUCAGAAGAAGCGUUGCUACAUUACUCCUACAUUCUGCGCUACCUCUGGUAUUAAAGACAAAGAGCGUUCGGGUUAACCGAAAAAGUUUGAAGAUGAAGAAUUAAAAACAUUACUCGAUCAAGAUUCGUAUCAAAAGAGCUCGCAAAAACAUUGGAAGUUACUCAACAAGUUAUUUUGAAACGACUCAAAGCCGCGGGAUACAUCCAAAAGCAAGGAAAUUGGGUCCCAUACGAAUUGAAACCGAAAGAAACGGACGACGAUUUUGCAUGUCCGAAAUGUUGCUUGAACGGUACAAAAAGAAGUCUUUUCUGCAUUGAAUCAUUACCGGGGACGAAAAUAAAUUCACUACGACAACCCGAAACGCAAAAAAUCGAUCAGAAGGGUGUGAUCCACUAUGAGCUGCUAAAACCUGGUCAAACCAUCACGGGAGACUUCUACAGGCAACAAUUGAUCCGUUUAAAGCGAAUUAUAGCCAAAAAACGUCCAGACUAUGCGACCAGACAUGAAUCCAUAAUCUUUCACCAUCACAACGCUCGGCCUUAUGUUGCUGUUCCGGUUAAAAACUAUUUGGAAAAUAACGGAUGGGAAGUUCUGGCUCACCCGCCUUAUAGCCCAGAUCUUGCCUCUUGCAACUACCAUUUGUUCGAUCAAUGCAGAACGCUUUAACUGGAAUACGCUUCACUUCAGAA